rnacentral:lncRNA from 1 species
GAUUCUGCAGGCCAGAUGGCAACCCGAACAGCCAAUCAGGCCUUAAUUCCCCUAUCCUUUAAGAUAAGCCCCUUCCCUGCAUACAUUAACAGCUUCCUCCUGUCCAGAUCUCAUACUCACCGAUCAAACGCACAGCAUUCAAGCAAAAUUUGCCCACAUGGCCACCUCCUGUGCUUCUUCAGCCAUUGCAGCAGUUGCUUUCUCUUCCCCAAGGCAAGUUAUCAUCACCCUCCUGCCAGAAUAAAACUCAAUUAUACAAAAACUAUAUAUAUAUAUAUACACAUGAUACAUUCAUGAAUCAUUGAUUGAUUGCGUGUGUAUGUCUAUAAUUGUAUAUUUAACUUUAGUUUUAGGAAUAAAUAAUCAAUGUUAACUCUAAAUGGGAAUCUUUAUUUAUAAUUUGUUGUUUACCGCUAUCUAUCAUUUCCAAGCUACAUGAUUGUACUGUUUAAAGAUGGAUAAUGAUAAAAACACGAUAUUAAUGCACGUGCAUCCAUCAAGUAAUCAAUUCAUUAAAUUACAGUUCCCAGAAAAAUGGAUCCAUUGUGGGAACAACCAAGGCUUCUUUUCUUGGUGGGAGAAGACUGAGAGUGAGCAAGUUUACCGCACCAGCUGGAACACGAUCGGUCAGUACUGUUUGUGCUGUAGCUGACCCUGAAAGGCCCCUCUGGUUCCCUGGCAGCACCCCUCCUCCAUGGCUUGAUGGCAGGUCUGAUGAUGAUUUCAUUUGUAGUCCACUAUAUGAUAUUACAAAUUAACAUAAGAGCAGUCUUUUUUUUGUGUGUAUAUAUAUUUUUUCAAGUAAGAGCACAGUAGCACUAUGUUGCUGAAGUUAGAUUUUAAUUCUGCUAUGCAGCCUACCCGGAGAUUUUGGUUUUGAUCCUCUUGGUCUAGGUAAGAGAAAUAUGAAGUUUUGGCUUGUUGGAUCCGUGAACUAUAUUUGAAUUUAACUUCUCUAUUGCUGCUCAAAAUUACUAAUAACUUGAAUUAUUAUAGCCUUGAAAUUCAUGUAAUGUUGCUUCUUAAACAGGAUCUGAUCCUGAGACUUUGAAAUGGAACCAGCAAUCAGAGAUUGUACACUGCAGAUGGGCAAUGUUAGGUGCAGCUGGUAUUUUCAUUCCUGAAUUUUUAACAAAGCUUGGAAUUCUGAACACCCCAUCAUGGUACACCGCUGGUGAGCAAGAGUACUUCACUGAUAAGACCACACUCUUUAUCGUUGAGAUGAUUUUCAUCGGUUGGGCUGAGGGAAGACGGUGGGCAGACAUACUCAAGCCAGGGUGCGUGAACACUGACCCCAUCUUCCCUAACAACAAACUCACAGGCACAGAUGUUGGCUACCCAGGUGGCUUGUGGUUUGACCCACUUGGUUGGGGUAGUGGUUCUCCUGAGAAAAUCAGGGAGUUGAGGGUAAAGGAGAUCAAGAAUGGAAGACUGGCUAUGUUGGCUGUGAUGGGUGCAUGGUUUCAAGCUAUAUAUACCGGCACUGGACCUAUUGACAACCUCUUUGCUCAUCUCGCGGAUCCUGGUCAUGCUACCAUUUUUGCUGUAAGUAGCCACCCUCACAAUAUUCUGAAUGUAUUUAUCUUUGCAUAUAUACAUAUAUAUAUAGUACACAAAAAAAUCACGUGAAGAAGCCAUGGACGUGCUAUAAAACAGGCAGAAUGCUACAGAAAAAUAAGGGUAGCAUGCAUAUCUAGCGCAAGUGAAUCUGAUCAAGUUGAGUGUACUUACCCUUUCUGAUGUUUUACAGGCUUUCACCCCCAAAUAAGAGAAGCAAGAGAGACAUCUAACUGCUAUUUUUGUGUCUGAGCAACACUGAAGAUCUUUCUGCCGAAAAGGGUUUGACGUGUGCUUCGCCAGUGAUGUUUGUAUCAUUAGAACUUUGUAUUGCCCCAAUUAUGUCUCCUGUAGAAAGCUCAUGCAGUGUACAAAUACCUCUUUGAACUUAAAUGCAUAAUUUUAUAAACUCAAAUUUGAAAUUGUCCGUAACUACAUUCAUUUGUAUGGUAUUGGAAAUUUUAGACCACUUGAGUUCCAAAUCCAUGAAAGUAUCCAUUAUUGCUGUUAGUCUGAAAAUCACAUAACAAUGUAGUUAGACUCAAAAUCCUUGCCUCAAUUUUAUGAUAGAAGUACUCAAAACUAGAUAAACAGUUAUAUCCAUAUCCAGUAAAAGAUAAGAUCACAAGAAGAAUUACAGGUUAGUUCGGAUCAGCAGAUAUUUAAUUUUUGACCAUGCCUAAGGGAUACAGGGAAGUGACAUAGGGUGAGUAUGAAAAUUUAAAAUUUUCAAACAGCGAUCACUCAAUAAACAAGGAGAUGCAUGUAUACAGAGACAAUUCACGAAUAUAAAGAAGAAGAAAAAUCUAAUCACUAGGAAUUACUAUAUUAAAAAAAUUGAAUUUUCAGAGUCUUCAAACUUAAUUACUUAAGUAGCAUGAAGUCUCUCUUGCAAAAGCACCAGAAACCAAUGCAUUAAAAAGGUAGAGGAGCAAGAUUAAGGCACCGGCUUGGGUCAGAUAGCGGAACUGGACAUCUUUGAUUAUUACCACUUAAGCUAAUAAAAUGGCUUCAUGGACUUCAAUAUGUAUAAUAAUCCUUAAAGAAGUGGAAUUGAUUCAGUAUGCAGGUGACUGAUUAGGUGAAGCACAAUAUAAGAACGGUAUAAAAAUGGCCUACAAAUUGGUACAUUACCAUAACGGAAAAUGAACAAUUUCCAAUGGUAUCGUUUCAGUACCAGCAUAAUAUGAACUCCCUUGUGCCAUAACUCAAAGAUCAAUCUACACUUGAAAGCAACUAAGUUAUUUAAUUUAUUGUGAAACUAUAGAAGUCAACUAAUUGGAAAUUAAGGCAACAGAGAUGGGUAUAACAGCUAGUGAAGACAGCAAGCCUACAGGAUUACAAGACCAGUUAAGUUUUAUCAGUCAGCAUAUGUUUUUUCUUUAGCAUAAUGAAACAGAAUAAAAUUUAUAAUCUUUAGUAUUCCAACAAAAAAUUUGCAGCUGUAAUUCACCAAUUAUUAGGUACCAUUAAAUGUAUCAAGGUAGCCACUGUAUUCCAGAAUAAGAGACUUUAUUCAAGAAACUAAAGUCAUAUUCAUUUCAAGAUAAAGGAAUAUAAAAUCAGACAAGCAAAGCUUCAAACAGAUUAUGAUAUGAGUUUGAUAUUAGUUUUGACAUUUUAGGCAACAAGAGUGCAUUUAGUGGUCACUGGACCUCGUAUUUGUUGAAAGAAGCCAAACUCAGCUCCAUACGUGGAUGAGAAAAAUUCAAGAAAACUAGAUAUUGAAAUUUCAAAAUCAUGGUACACUCAAGAAAUAAGACUCUAACAGUGUUGCAUUGUGCACAAAUGAAGCCCUUAGUAAGUCGCAACAUUUUCUCAAAUACAAGAAUCCAUGCAUUAAGAAUUGGAAUAACUCCCAUAACAUAGAAAUGAAUUCCAACCUACAAAGGAUCCAAAAUUGUAUCAUGUGUCCUUCAUGAUAUUUUCUGAAAUAAUGUAUAGGAUAACGCUUAUUGUCUAAAUUUGCCUUAACAUUAUCCUCAACAUUAAGUAGAACGAUUAUAUGAUGAAAAUGAACAAUAAGAUAGCAAUUUUCACUGCUUGAGUUAAUCUUAUGAAAGACAUUAGCAUGAACAUCUCUGAGCAAUAGAAUUAGCAGAAUAAUAACAGUAAGAAAACAGGGAAGGAAUAGGUCUAAAGACUUGUCACUGCCCACUGGUAAAACUAUCAAAAACUCAUAAGACUCUUCCUAGUAGAUAUAUUGGCCGAGUUAUUGUAGGUGAAUAGGUGGGAAUCCUGAUGUGUAUUUCCAAUCAAAAUUCCUUAAUUUUCAUUUCUUAAGAAUUAUGGGAGUUAUUCCAAUCAAUAUACCUCCAUAGUGCUUCACAAAAGGCCCUCGGGUUCUUGCAUAUUAUAGUCAAUUUUUGAAGCCAAUACAACUUGGCUGCCAUAGAAUGGUGGUAUGACCCUUGCAUUUUGUAAGACAACUGAUUUUUUCUUUUUUCCAAUUUUGGGCAAUUAUUGACUUGUGAAAUAUUUUCAUGCCAGCUCAAAUGAUCAAACAUAAUUUAUUUUAUAGGCGUUAUACUAUGACCCUUCUACUUUGGCUGCAGAGGUCUUUGUAGGCACAUUAGCCAGUACCCUGGUUUCUGUAUCUGUAUCAGUCUACUCUAAUGAUUGAUGAUGUACUUACGGACAACUUUAUCACUCCUUGAUGUAGAGAUUAUUAACAGAUUCUUGUUAUAUGUAAUGAUCUGGGUACAGAUGCUACUUGGAUCAAGGAGAAAGACUGAAAGAGUUAUCUGCUAUAAUCUUGGAAUUUCACAAGAGGCGCAGUUUCAUGCUAGUCACUUUUGGGCUUAACCCAAAAAAAAGUUUUUAAACAAUUGUUCGAUUUAUUGGAGGCACAUGACUAGCAUCUCAUGAAAAUUGACUAAUAUAAGAUGUUGCAUAGAUUAGCAUUUCAAUAAUGGUGUUCUUGUAGAGUUUCUCUUCAUUUUAACCUACUUGAGCAGUUCGCUUGGUAGCGAGCUCUUGCAAAAGCAAAGACAUGAUGGAAAUGACAGUAUGAGAGAUGCAUAUUUAGACCUCUUCUAGGAGUGGGAAUCAUCCAAUUGCACAUCCACACAGCUAGAAAUACUUGAAGGAAACAGUUAAUAUAUUUAACUUAACCUUAACAUAUGGGAUUGCUUAUUUUGUGGGAUGUACUUAUUUUGAUUUCACUAGGAUUGUCUUCUUUGCGUAAGAUACGCUUUCAGCUUUACUAAUAUGAAGGACUUUGUGUAUUGAAAUUCUAAAACUGGAUGAUCCUGAAUAUUUGAUAUUGGAUUUCUCUCAUCUAUGAGUUCUCGCUGUGCUGUCCACAUUCCUAUCUUUCCGUUCUAGUUUUCAUACUAUUCUUCCGCUCAUAAUAUUUUUUCUCUUGCAGUGCUGCAUCAUUCUUAUUGAAAGUGUCUGAAGAUACACUCAGAAAUACAACCUUUAGCACUCCCAUAGCCAUACAAACCCAAGCCUAAUCUACCAUCUUCAAUAAGUAGAUUAGCUUUGUGAAUCACCUCCCAUAUUUACGAAAAAAUUAUAUCAUGCAAGAGUUCUGCACCAAAGCUUGUUGCAUUUGGACACCAGGCCAGCUAGAUAGUCAUAUUUCUUUUAUGAAAAGGGCUUUCAGAGGCUACUUUUCCGCCUACAUGAUGCUGUUGAUUGCAUGUAAUUGAAAAAAAAUAUAAUAUAUACAUGUGAACUCAGUUCAGUAUGUGUGAGUGAGAUAUCCAUCAGAGAAAUGUACUUCAUCGAAAUCACUUGUUCCUACAUGUUGUGAACUACUAUUGUUUUCCUUCUUUAACUUUUGAUAGAUUUGACAUAUGUCUUCUGAUGUAUUCACUGUUGGAAAAUAUAGCAAUUAACAAGAAGAAUAAUACAGUAAAUUGGAACAACUUAGCUGAAAAAACCGAGGCGUAGCAGAGCUACUGUCCUAAAAAGUGAUUUCGCCCCCACUGAUAAUAAUCACAGGUACAAAUGGGCUGCUGGCGGUCACUCUCCAGGAUUCAAAGGCGAAGUCUCCGAUUGUGUGUACUCACAGAAGGAGGCUUUGGACUUGUCUAUGUGGAUUGCCCAAUUAACAGAGUAUAUAUUUGUGUAAGAAAAUAAACUGUAUAUUAUGUGAUGAACAAAAGUGAUUUCUUGUUAGGAGAAAAAGAAGAUGAUAAUCAUAUGUCUCUUAUGCUAAGAAGAAUAAUUGUGAUAUUUGUAAGGAUGAUCAGAAUGUUAGACACAUUAAUGUUGAGAAUUGCCCAUUAACCGUUGGGGGUUACAGAAAACGUAACGGCUAGAGUAUUAACUCUAAACGGGGGUUACAGAAAUUUUGGAGAAUAACCAACAAUCCCCCACAUGAUCCAAAAUUAUCAAAGAGAGAAAAAUUAAAAGGAAGUGAGAAGGGCAAUGAAUUUUAGAUACAUAACAUCGAUACCUUGUGGGUUUGAAUCGACACUUAAUGGAACAAGCUCAUGACUGUAGAUUAUAGGUGAAUUAUAUUUUUGAACCCAUUAUCUAUGAUACAAUCAAUUGAACUUGCACACAUAUAAAAAAAUCCUGAAUCCACACAAGUCCGCGGUUGGACGCGUUCUAGGCCAUGCGCCAUGUCCCAGAUUUUCAUAAAGGCUCUAGAGAGUAUGCCAAAGACUCUCAUAGGAAGCGGCCUACACUUCCACCUUUAUAUAGGUAAACCCAUCAAGUGUAUACUGACAUACACCACCCUUUAGGGCUAUGAGUUUCAUUAAGAAUCUAAAUGAUUCAUCCUAUCACAAUUUGUCAGUAAGCACCACAUGCACACAAGAAGGGAUAUAAAUAAUUGUAGUGCUAUAAUUAAGUAAUUACGUGACUUGUUGUUACCCAUUGAACCCAAUUCAUGGGAUCUCCAAUCACAUGGGUUGGGUUUCCAUCGCGUAUUACUUACUCAAGAUGUUGGCAAUAGUCCCAUCCCUCUGGAUGCUUCUUGGACACUCUUUUUAAUCAAUCCCUUUGUAAGCGGAUCCGCUAUAUAGGUUCUUUUCAAACCUUUCAAAUUCCAUAGAAAUAACACCGUUUACUGAUCAGUCAUUCAAUAUUAUGUCUCAAGCGAAUACGUCUCUGUUUCCCAUUAUACACAUGGUUCAUUGCUCGUCCAAUAGCAGCUUGAGAAUCACAAUGCAGAGAUAUAAAAGGAAUUGGUUUAGACCACAACGGUAUGUCUACUAAUAAAUUCCUCAGCCACUCUGCUUCUGUACCUGUCAAUUCUUAUGCAAUAAAAUUCAGAUUUCAUAGUAGAUUUAACAAUACAGGUUUGUUUAGCAGAUCUCCAAGAGACAACUCAUCCACUUAAAGUAAAUACAUAUCCACUAGUGGAGCUUUGUUUCAUCAUUAUCAGAUACCCAAUUAGUAUCACAAUAUCCUUCAAAAACAUUAGGAUGAUCAGAAAAAUGUACACUUACAUUUACUGUUCCUUUUAAAUAACUAAUUAGACGUGACAAUGCAUUCCACUUAUUCUUAUGCGUAUAUCUGCUAAUUCUACUAAUGACAUAUGCUAUAUCAAGUCGAGUACAAUUCAUUAAGUACAUUACAUUAUCAAUGAUUCUGGUAUCUUCAGUUUGUGCAAUACCAAUCCCCUUUAUUUUUCUUUAAAUGCACACACUAGAGUCACAAGGUGUUCCUAAUGACUCUUCAUUAAAGAAAUUAAAUUUCUUAAGAAGUCCACAUAAUGAGACUAAGAUAAAAAACAAACCAUGUGCAUUUUUAUUAAUUCUAAUGCCAAGAAUCAAAUUUGUUUUUCAUGUCAAAUUUAGAGAAUAAAAAAAUGUUUUAAUAGUUUUCACAACUAUUUCAUCAGUACUAAAUAUCAGCAAAUUAUCCACAUAUAAUCACAUCACAAUUUUCAUGCUUUGUAUCUCAUGCAUAUAUCACAUUUCUCAUGCUUCACAGUUUAUGUAUAAUUCGUAUUUUAUACAUGCUUCAUCUUUCUCAUAUUGUACAUUUAUACAUGUUUGACAUCUGAUACAUGCUCCAUAAUGCUCAUACUUCGCAAUUCUCAAAUUAUAUAGUUCACAUAGAACAAUUAACUUAAAUCAUCAACAGACUAUUAACAAUUAUUAUUACAUUGUUGCACGGAGUGCACAUUAAAACAAUUCACAAGAAUUUCACAUAAUGCUGAACAUUAGCACAUAACAACUAGUACUGAAAAAACUUUCUUUAAAAUUAUCAAUAGAUCAGUCAGCUUUUAACUUCCUUUUAAACACCCAAUAGAUUUACAUCUUUUAGGCAAAAUAAUUAGCUCUCAUGUAUGAUUACUCAUAAUGGAUAACAUCUUUACAGAAGAUUGCAUCAAAUGACUCCAUUGCUUCUUAGGGUGAUCUCCAGUUAUCAAAAGUCUAGAUGCAACACUAUUUGAAACAUAUCCAGUAAAAAUAUAAACCAUUGUUUUAUGUCCAAUUUUAUUCCCUUUUUAAAUUCUGGUAUAGCUACUUUAGCUAGACACCCCCACAUUUUAAGAUACCCCAAGUUAAAGUACAUGUGUUAUUACAACAUGGUAAUUUAAUUCCAAGCACCAACAAUUAAUAUUUCAAACAAAGGAAUUAAAUAACAUACAAUAUUACUCAAUUAAUAUUCCAAGUAUGUUAUAAACACAUUAAAAUACUUUCAUAAAAUUUACAACAGUAUCUUAUCAUCACCAAAUGUUACUGUAAUUUUCUGGAAUUUUUUCUGAAGAUCAUGCAAAUUAUCACAAUUAAUUAACUAUUGCAUAAUUAAAUUAGAGAUUAACUAAAAUUAUCCAAAUAUAUUAAUUUUCUAAAACUUCAGUGGAAAUAUUAAUUUUAUUCCAAUAAUUAAUAUCUGUUAAAUUUUCAGAAUUUAAUAAUCACAAUAACUAUUUAUUAAUUGAUUUCUUUCAAAACUUGUUCAAAUAAAUUUGAAAAGUCAUGUUUAGUGUGGUCAAAUUCAGCAAUGUUGGCUAUAUCUCAUAUCAUCACUCUUUUGUGAUACAGUUUCGGGAUAAUUUUGAAUACAGCGCGAGCUUCAAUAUAAACCAUGAGGACUCCAUCAACUGAGAUUAAUUCUAACUCUAAAAAAAAAUUGGCAUAAAUUAUUUGGCAAUCAAUCAGAUCUCAGUGAACACCAUGAAUAAGAAUAUCCGAAUCACAUAACUAGAUAUGACGAACAGCCAACAUAGAACAAAAUAAAUUAUGUUUUUUUUUUGUUAGAUUCUAAGGACGGAGUGAAUAGCAUUAUUGACCAAACAUGCAGAUAAAAACCAAUCAUCUUUCUAUCUUGUUGUCAUGACACACAAAAACGAAUUCAUAGGAAACUACAUAGCUCAUGUUUGAACAUUUAGAGAGAUAAUAAAGUAUUAUAAUCCAUAUACAUUGUAUAAUCAUAGCUCGGUGUGUAUAAUUUAUGAAAGUAGCUUGUUUUAUAUAUGACCCCUCCAAAUUUCUUAUAUGAGCAGAUAUUCAUACAAACUCGAAAUGAUUGGUGCAAAUCAAAGCUUGAGUACAUGUACUCUGUUUGGAGUAAUGCUCAACAUUUAUCUAAUCAAUAGGUUUCAAAAAACCCAUUUGUAUGAAAUAACAAAAUGAUGAAGGAAAAUAGAGAUUUCAAGCCUUGACAGUUCUAAACCAGGACACAGCUUCUGCCCACCACCAAAUGGUGUAAAGGUGUUCCUGUUAUGGACACCACCUCCGGUUUUCUCCCAUCUCCAUGGAUCAAAUUGAUACGUAUUUCAUAAUUUUCUGCAUAUAUGUGAACAGAACUAAAAGAUGCCACAACACACCAAUCUUUGGGUAUCAAGUAACCGUUGAUUUCAACAUCUUUUAGAGCUUUUCUACAAACGGCAUUGAUAAUAUUUGCCAUUCUAAGAGUUUCACUGAUCACAUUUUGAUUAAAUUGCAAAGACAUGUAAUUCGUCCAUGCGUAUCCAUCAGAUGAUUCAGCCAUUUUUUUAUUAUUUAUUUGAACAUUUUUUUUUCUGUAUUGGACGAUGGGAUGGAUUAUGUUGCAGUCUAAAUCAAAACAGAGACGGAGAUGAUUUUGACUGCUACAAGAGAGAUCACAAAGCAGCUGAUAGGAAGAUAAGAGAAAAACAAGAAAUCUUUGUAAAACAGAUUAGUGAAAAUUUCUGAACGGAGUCCUAAUGACAGUAAUACCCUCUUUUUUAUAGUCUUUCAGACUGGAGGAAGGAGGAGUAUAUAGUAAUCUUGAUCAACUUGCUUGGGCUCCAAUUGUACUCCAUUAGAUUUUGGACUUAAUUUCGAAUUGGACUGAAGCCUGACUAAAUUUAUACUCUUGUCCGUCCAAAAAAAAAACUUCUUUACAAAAUAAAUAUUUAAGGAUGUAAUUUUUUGUUUUACUAAAUUUAAAUUGAAACAAAAAAUAACUGUCAGACAUCUUAUAGUUCCAAAAUAACUUAAAGGUCAAAAAGAAGAUUGAAAAGCAGAACAUCCUAACAUUUCAAAUUCAUAGUUUUUAAAUAAAACAACAGUAUUCUUGUUAAUAGAUUAAAAUCACUUUUUAGAUUGUUGGAAAAUAUAGCAAUUAACAAGAAGAAUAAUACAGUAAAUUGGAACAACUUAGCUAAAAAAACCGAGGCGUAGCAGAGCUACUGUCCUAAAAAGUGAUUUCGCCCCCACUGAUAAUAAUCACAGGUACAAAUGGGCUGCUGGCGGUCACUCUCCAGGAUUCAAAGGCGAAGUCUCCGAUUGUGUGUACUCACAGAAGGAGGCUUUGGACUUGUCUAUGUGGAUUGCCCAAUUAACAGAGUAUAUAUUUGUGUAAGAAAAUAAACUGUAUAUUAUGUGAAGAACAAAAGCGAUUUCUUGUUAUGAGAAGAAGAAGAUGAUAAUCAUAUGUCUCUUAUGCUAAGAAGAAUAAUUGUGAUAUUUGUAAGGAUGAUCAGAAUGUUAGACACAUUAACGUUGGGAAUUGCCCAUUAACCGUUGGGGGUUACAGAAAACGUAACGGCUAGAGUAUUAACUCUAAACGGGGGUUACAGAAUUGCUCAUUAACCGUUGGGGGUUACAGAAAACGUAACGGCUAGAGUAUUAACUCUAAACGGGGGUUACAGAAAUUUUGGAGAAUAACCAACAUUCACAACUAUUUUUGUAACAGAUUCAGGAACCAAAUACAGUACUUAUAAACAUGGCCUUUAGCACAACUGCACAAGCAAAGGAAUUUUUGUUUGAUUUUAUUUGAUAAAUCCACAACAAGCACAUAAUUGACAUAUAUAAUUAUAUAUACAAACAUCUUAAUCCACCUGAGCCAGAUAACAUGAACAUGGAUAUAUUAUGGCCUAAACAAAUGAAAAUACAAACAUUAUACAAUAAUUAACAGAGAGAUCAGUAAAUCAUAAAUAAUUAAUAAAGCCAUCUCACAAUUGUACAAGAAUUAAAUAGUCAGAGUGAUUACAACCAAGUAAUCAGCACUGGCCCUGGGCUAAAGCCCAAAGUGCCCGGGCUUUAGGCCCACAAAUUUUUAGGGCCCCCUAAAUAUUCUCUUUCUUUCAUUACUUAAAUAAAAUACUUAAAAGAAGGCUCAAGUGUUAAAUGCUAUUCCAGUAUUCCUUCUCAUAAAUUUCAAGUUAAUUUCAAGUAUUAAUUCUAUUUUUUAGGGUUUUAAAAUUAAUUAUUUUGUUUAUGAGAUUUAGAAGCAUUGUUUAAUUUAAUUGGGCUUGAUGACUGAUUGAGUAGAUUUGUUUAUGCUAUUAUGAAUCAAGUGAAAAUUUUAAUCUCUUUUGAAUUUUUUUAAUUGUUUGGGAGUAGUGUUUGACUCUUAAUAAUUAUAAAGGAGGCUCUAUUUGAUAAUUAAUUUAUAGAUAAUCACGAGAUUAUGCUAGAAUUUUGCAGAUUUUUAAAUUUUAAUUCACCAUGACUCCUAAAAAAUAUGUCUGGAUCUGAAAAAAAUAAAAAAAUAUAUUGAAAUAGUUGGUUAUUAUAUUUGGUAUUCUUUUGUAUUGAUGCUCUUUUGUUCAGAAAAAGUUCUUAAUUUUUUUUAUACCUAUGUUAAUAGUAAUUCGCAAAAGGCCCAAUUUUUUUUCCUUCCUGAAAAACUCAGGCCGGCCCUGCAAGUAAUUUCCAAUUUCUCUCUAUCUCUCUCUUUUUUAAAGUAUCAUCAACAUAUCAUACAUAAAAAUUGAAUAUUUAAAACAAAAGGAGACACAGGGAAGGAGUACAUGUAAUGUAAUAGUAGCAUAACUGACCAACCGGUUAGGAGGGACGGUUCGGGGGACGAAUUGUGAGCUGAACCGGAAUGGGGCGGCCGGUGCCAGUACCUCCACAGCUAGUACAUCCCAUACGACCGGAGCCAGCACAGGUCCGACAUCCAAUAUCUCCGUCGGACCAGCGAGUGCAGAAGCAACUGAUCCGGCCCGUGCCGUUGCAGC